CUGCCCUGGGGCGAGGAUCAUCGGCACUUCGGUAAUUGAGGGUUACCGGCUGCUGUUCAAAGGCAGCAGGACCGGC
rnacentral:tRNA from 1 species